rnacentral:rRNA from 1 species
UACAGAGGGUGCAAGCGUUAAUCGGAAUUACUGGGCGUAAAGGGCUCGUAGGCGGCCAACUAAGUCAGACGUGAAAUCCCUCAGCUUAACUGGGGAACUGCGUCUGAUACUGGAUGGCUUGGAUUCGGGAGAGGAAUGCGGAAUUCCAGGUGUAGCGGUGAAAUCCGUUGAUAUCAUGGGGAACACCAAAAGCGAAGGCAGUACAUUGGGCCACUCCUGACACUGAAACACGAAAGCGUGGGUAGCGAAUGGG